rnacentral:lncRNA from 1 species
AGUUGGAGGGAAGAAAGGAUUUAGGGCCUAGCAGGUGGGUUUGGAGGAGAGAAUGGGAGAGGCUGAAGGUAGAGAAGUGAUAGAAUUUGGCUCACCUGGAAGGGCAACGGGCUAGAAGGGCUUCUGAAACGCUUGCUGAUUGCAAGUUCAGGGUAGCAGGCAACCUCUGUGAAUGUCAGGACAAAGUGGAAAAGACAUUCUGAGACUCACUCAAGAAGAGUUUCAUUUCUUCUGUGGUGGUGCUGCCACAUGUGGUAACUGCCUUGUGGAGGGGGGAUGAAAACAAGCCAGGAUUGAGUGUUGAUAGGGUUUUACCAGCUGCAUGGAUGGAAAGAUUGAAUCCACCGGCAGUUUUCCUGCCUUUGAACUGUCAGAGAAUGCUUUUGGGAGGUGCUGUGGCGGUAGGCUGGAAGGACACCUAUCCCACCAUAGAGGAAGGAGUGGAGGCCUCUGGGAGGUGGUGAUGAGGGAGCUCCAUCUUGAAGGAAUAGAAGAAUCUAAACAGGUUGGAUCUCCUCACCGGAGUGCUUCCUUUACAGCAGGCUCCCAUCAUCUUUUCCUUCCAGGUGCUCUCCUUGCUUUGCUCAGAUCCACUCUCCACCCCUCUCCACUUUGCUCUCUGCCCUGGAAGAUUGAAGUGAAUGGAUAUCAACAGGGCUCCUAGCUCUUUGGCUUUUGGCUGGCUUUGGCCCAUGAAGAGCUGUGGCAAGAGAUCGGAGUCAGGGCAGAGAGUGAGUUUGGGGUAUUUGUCACCUUGGCUUCUCCUUGAAGGUUACCUGGUGCUUGCUGUAUCAUGCACCUGCAAGUCAACUGCUUCUCUCCAAACAUGUUACUCUGUAUGACUCUUCUACGUGGUCCUGGAAGCCUCUCUCUCCCCUGGUCAUCCCUUUGGGUCUAGAGGUGGUAGCAGCUUGGCUGCUGGUAGCCUGCAUUCCUCCUCUAUGCCCUUAGUGAAUAGUCCUUUUGUAAAUAAAUUCUCCUUGAGUUGUACUAAUUUGACUGCCCCAUCUGGUUGCCAUUUCAGUCUUGACUGAUGUAUGCAUUUUAUUGUGAUUCUGUUUUAAAAUUUUAUUCUUCUAUUAAAUGGUCUUUUAGCAGAGCUUAAUUUCCAUAACAACAAUCACAAUCUACAAAUUUGGUAUAAUUGAAGUACUUUUUGAAGGGAUAAGGCAAGCUUAUCAGUCUUUUGAAAAAACUGAUGUCCUUAAUCUGUAUACUCCAGCACAAAGUGAAUGAUAGACCAUUUAAAAUUAAUGUACUCAUUAAUUCAAUAAACAACUGAAUAC